rnacentral:rRNA from 1 species
UACGAGGGGGGCGAGCGUUUGUUCGGAAUUAUUGGGCGUAAAGGGUGCGUAGGCGGUUCCGCAAGUCCUGUGUGAAAUCUUCGGGCUCAACUCGAAGUCUGCACGGGAAACUGCGGGGCUUGAGUGUGGGAGAGGUGAGUGGAAUUCCCGGUGUAGCGGUGAAAUGCGUAGAGAUGUGGAGGAACACCAGUGGCGAAGGCGGCUUUCUGGUCUGUAACUGACGCUGAGGCGCGAAAGCGUGGGGAGCAAACAGG